GCGGUGGCGGUGGAGGUGGAGGAGUAGCACCGUAUUAUGAGUCUCAUUCUGGUGAAAAGGGUAAAGGCAAAACAGGUGAUAAUAGAGGAUUUGAUUGGGAUUUGAGUGAUCACCGUAGUAAUAUGAUGCAAGCGUCGAAUCGGAUCGGUGCGGCGGCAUUUCCAGGUUCGAUUGGCUUGCAGAGGCAAUCAAGUGGGAGCAGCUUUGGUGAAAGUUCGAUCUCCGGGGAGUAUUACAUGCCGUCGUUGUCUAAUGCGGAGGCGUCAUUUGGAUAUCUCAAUGAUGGCGGUGGCGGUGCUGAAGUGAGGAUGAAGCCGUUGGAAGCUAAUUUGUUCGGUGGCUCGUCUUCUAAGAGCUGGGCGCAGCAGACUGAGGAGAGUUAUCAGCUGCAGUUAGCUUUGGCUUUACGGCUUUCUUCCGAAGCUACCUGUGCUGAUGAUCCAAAUUUUUUGGAUCAUGUGCCUGAUGAAUCCGCA
rnacentral:misc_RNA from 1 species